UCGUUUUUUACUUUUUAUGUUUCUUCUUCAACUAAUUAUUUUCUAGUUUUGCUAUAAAAUAAUUUUGAUGUGUGUUUUUGUGUAAAAAAUGUUAAUUUAUGUGUAUGGAAACCUUUAGUUUUUAUUGUUUUUUUAUUUGUUAAUUUUUCAAAUCCUUUUCCAAUCUUCUCAUGUCAGGAUUCUUUAACAUGGUUUUUGUAUGUUUGACCUAGACAUUCUAAAAGGAGUUCGAGAGGGAGAAAGAUAAAAAAUAGCCAGC
rnacentral:lncRNA from 1 species